CAGGACACAAGUGCAGGGCUGGGAAGGGGCCGCUGCGUGUCGGGGAGCAGCCUGGACUGGAGCCGCCGCCUCCCUCCUCUGCUUCCUCCCGCUCCAGCCAGACUCCGGAGCAGGGCCUGUAGGGAGGAAGGCGUGUGGCUUUCCAAAGGGACCCUUCUGCAGGACCCGGUCAGUGGCAACCAGGCCGGAUGGAGGUCAGGCCCUCUGGCUGAGGGCACAGCGCAGCUGGCGGGAGUCCCUGGUGCUGCUGGAGCUCAGACCGCUGGCAGGGAAGUGCGUCUCUGCUGUGGGCACCGCAGCCCGCCUUGCCAGACGCGGGGCCACGGCCGUAUCCGCAGGUCUGAUGCUCAGGGCUCAGAUGUUCUGGGAGGAGCAGUGCUGCCCACGGCUGUGGGAUCUGGUCUAGACAUCGCUCGGCCACCCCGGGUCACCCCCUCCCAUGACAACCCUCAACUUCCUUGGUGGCUCUGUGAGCCUGAGAUGGCGGAGUCCAGACCUCCAGGACAGUAAGUGCGAGAGGCUCCGGGACCAGGUGAGACGGAAUUGGAUAAGCAGCGUGGGGGCCACGUCCUGCGCAGCCUUUGCCGUGGCCAUUGUGUCCCACCACCCACCUGGGACGCAGGAAAGGCCUCCACGUGUCACUCAGUCACCAGACCUCAGACCAUCACUCCGCUGGUGGCUUUCUGGCCUCUUGCCUCCUUCCGCAGGCUGUUGAGGGCCGAGGAAGGUCUGGGGACACCUCUGUUCAGAGCAAGGCAGACUGCGUGGCUUUUAGUGGCAAGGUCUCUCUUUCCCUCCAGAGUCUACCUUGUUCCUGGAAUGCAGGACGGAAAGUUCAAGUGCUUUUUCUGUGGUUAUGAUUAAACAAAACUGAGAGGCACACAGGAAACACAAAGACAUGGGGACCCCGCGGCAUCGUCCCGCUGAGCAGCCCUGGGCAGCCCUUCCCUUGGGAGCUAAUGCUCCUCCGGCUUUGAAGAACGAUGCUAUCACCUUAGCUUUUUCAAAUGUCUGGAGUUAAAAGCUGCCUCUUGAACCUGCGGUCCUUUAAAAUUUACGGAGGAACAUGCUACAUCAGGCUCGGCCAGGCCGGCCCCACAGAAAGUCAAUACUUGUCUCAAAGCAAACAAGUCUUCGAAUACAAGGUCAGAGUGAAAGAAUGCCGUCCCCUUCACGCUUCCAGCCUCUCGUCCCCCUUCAAAGGCUGAAGCGGUGAGCUGGCUCCCUGUGCAGGUCAAAUGCAUGUCAUAGCAGACACCGGGGUUAAUAUUCAACCAGGCAUUAAUAGAUUAGAUAACUGUUACCUGCUUUUAGUGCCAAUUAAUUCAUAGCUGUUUUUAUUCCUCCUUUUACAAGGCAGAAAAAUAUGGGGCCUGGUUUCCUGUGGCGAGUUCCCAGGUAGGUCUUUUGUGCUGCGACCGCCACCAGUUGAGGGGGCUGACACCUGUGAUCCCCCGAGGCUCGGGCCCGGCAUGAUGUCGGGCAGUGGCCCUCCGUGCGGGGCCAUUCAAAGCCCACUGAGCGGGCUCCUUGUGGUAAGAUUUAUGCUAGUUUAUGCUAGAAUAACAAUGAUGCCGUGGUAUUUGUUUGAAAAUGAAAGGAUUAUAUGGUCUUUGUAAAAUGAGGAAUUUGGUUCUGGGGAGGGGCAGUGAGACGGUGAUUUAUUUUUUGUUUAUGUUCCUAUGAAUCCUUUGAUAUGUCAGCUUCUGUCACUAAGUAUUAGGACACUUGUAAUUUCUUGAAUCAACCAAGAUGAAAUACACACAGCCUCAAAUAAUUUAUGUCAAAAUCUCAGCUGUGCAAUCUAAGUGCCAGGGCUUAUUGGGAGAUUAGACGGGAACGGGCUACUUGGUCUUCAAAGACCUGCCCGUGAUCGGAGUUAGAAAGCCACAGUUCUCCCCUUAGCUCAGGUGAGGGGUGUGCCCCCUCUUGGGGUUUUGGUGCAGGGAGAGGCCACGGGAGUCGAGCUGUGGGUCGGGCCUGGGCUCAGGGAAGCCUGGUCCAUUAUUCCCCCAUAUUAGUCAGUGACCAGAACGUCUGAGUCAAUGACGGGGACGCCCACCGCCUCUUUCCUUUGUAGCGCUGUCCUUUAACAACUCGACUUCAAUGUGCGUCCGUGGAGGAUGGGAAAUGAAGCCAACGUUACCAUUAGCUCAAAACACAGAAGCUGUCUGGGACCUGGGGAGGUCUCAGCAGUGCUCAGUAGGGACCUGAGGUGCCUGGGGUGACGUGAGUCGAGGGCGGCAAGGCCACCCUCGUCACCCAUCCUGGGAUGCUCGCAGGGGCCUGGCUGGGUUUGUGUAGUGUUCGCAGGAGUCGCCCUGGGUCAGGGGCUCUGCUCACAGUGGGGACUGCCCCGCCAGUUCCUGUGCAGGACGCCCGUCCUCUGCAUUAGUCACCUGAAGGGCAAUGUAGACAGCAUGGUUGGCUGUUUGGGGCAAUGUCUAUCCCAGAGAUGGACAUUUUCUUUGGAAAAGAAAAUUCAUUACUGAGCCAUCUGGGAAUCAGAAAUACCGGAAAAUGGAUUCUGCAUUUCCCACUAUUAAUUAUGCAUCAGGAGCGUAUGGCUCCGUGAGCUGAGGCAGCAGAUGAAGGCACAGAUCUCAUUUCCCAGCCCCAGGAAGGACGACGCCAUGGCCUCACCGAGGUCCCCCUCAGUUUACGCAUCUCUAAAAUGGAGGAUGCUGAUGUGAUAGAGGAGGGACCAGGCAAGUAGCGAGAAAAGUGGGUGACUUUCCAACUCUGAGAGCCGGGAGCUGGGUUGGGUGUCUUCUCUUCAAGACGACGGUGGAGACUCCUCACUCUUUAGACCCCUCAUCCCCUGUCCUGGAGGGGUCCUUCUCAUCCCACUGGCCUGCUCCUUCCCAGAGCUGGUGUGUCGGCCAUGUGUGUCCGUCAAUCAGAAAGGGGGCAGGAAGUCUGGCCAGAGAGAGAAGCAGAGCAGUCUCCUUCGUCUCGCUCUCUGCACACACAUGCACACAGACAUUCACAGAGACACACACACACACAGAGAACGCACACGCAGGACACACGCUCACAGACGUGCACACACAUGCAUUUGCCGGCAAGCACACAACUUUGGAUUUGUCGUGUGUCCUGGACAAGGUGCUCCCUGCUCUUCAUCUUUUCCUCGCUGGCCUGACUAUGGACAAAACAAAGCCCCACGUAUCUUUUUUUUUACUUCAAGAACACUGAGAGAGGCUGUAAUUUAUUUCUAAAAAGAGCUUCUCUAAAAAGCAAAGAAAUAAAAUUCAAAGGAGAAUUCAAAAUGCAGAUACCUGCUCUCAUUAUGCCUGUGGACUGCUGGGUACCAAGGACAGAAGUCCUAGACCAUGCCAGCGUGAAGCCACCUCAGUAAGCUGGCCUUGGUAUCUGGCUUCUCGUCCUUGGGAGAAUAUACUUUUUAGUCUCUCCAGGGUGAGAUCAUCACAGCACAUUUUUAAAUCCCUGAGCGGCUGCACUUGAUCUUGACAAAGCUGCUGGGCCGCUGGCUGCUCCCUAAGCACUGGUCCCCGGGGAGAGAAGCCUUUUCCUCGACUCACCCAUCAGGCGUCUGCCCCGCCUGCUCGGGCCGCUCGGCCUGGCUGCCAUCCUGAGGGUAUUCAGAGCUUCAGACCUCUGCAGGGCUUCUGGUUACCCGGUGCCUAUUUGCCCUUAAAAAUUUAUCCAGAAUUUAUUGAGCAAUUCCAGUUUAGAAUUAGCUCUGUAAGGAUGGCGUUUUCCGUCUCCUCCUGUUGAAAACCGCCCAAAAGCAGCAAGAAGAAUAAGAAGGAAAAACGCGAAUGUGUCCUUACAGCAGAACCAGGAGACAUCUGUAGGCCUGAAACACAAUCUGUGAGGGAAGACUGCCAAGGAGAGGGAAGGUCAGGGAGGCCCAGCAGGACGGGGAGGGCCCACAGCUGCAGACCUCGGAAAGCAGUCAGAGCUGUCCUCCCCAGAGAAGCGACCCCUCCCCGGGGAACACCAGCAACCAUUUGUUUGGAAAGAAAGAAGAAAACGAUUGGGCCAAGUGCAGGUGUUCCUGGGCACAGUUUGCCAUAAAGUCUCAGGGAGCAGAGAAGGCAGGGAUAACAGGAAGACCAGCAGUAAGCUGUAGGUCUGAAAAGCAGAAUGUGGGUGAGGCUGGGAGAAGAAGGACUGCCACAGGGAGCGGCCUGCAGCACUGCGGGAUGGGCCAGGAGGGCCUAAUGAGCUAACUCACGCACAACCCUGGACACAGAGUUCCCACGUGCUUAGGAUAUGCCUCGGAUUUCACAUGUGCAGCUUCAUCAAAUGACAUAGGAAGAAAUAUCCUUAUUCCACAAUAAAUCAUAAUUUAAAAGGUCUGCUUUAAA
rnacentral:lncRNA from 1 species